rnacentral:snoRNA from 1 species
CUGGGACUUUAUCUCCAUAUAUAUGACAUGAAUAGAUAUAUGUGGUAAACGAAUCCCGAACAAGGAAAUUCGAGAUGAAUUUUUCUUAAUUGAAAGUUUUUCUUGAAUUGAAGUAUCUGCAGAAGA